ACACAUGCACACACCACACAUAUCACACACAUACCAGACACACACAUCAUACCCCUCAUACCUCCACACAUACCCCCAUACACACAACACACUACAUAUAUGCACACACACAAUGUCUAUCCUUAGUAGUCAACUUGCCUUCAUCUGGAAUUAGCUAAAAAAAAAUCAAGCCACUAGGCACUCCUUUGAGGGACAGUUUUUAGGUGAUUGGAUCACUCCAGGUCUGAAGACCCACCUUGAAUCUGGGCCACACCCUCUUAUGGCAGUUGGUAUAAAGGGCAAGGGAGAAAGAGGCUUUGCUCUUUGCCUGCAUGCCCUCACUCUUUCUGGGAGUCCAUUCCUUCACUGGCAUUAGAGCCUCUUUCUACAUUCCAACUGUUGUGGACUGACAACUACGGGAUUCUCAGACUUUCUGCUACUCGCCAGCCGUUGUGGAUCAGCUGCACCACAGCCUGUUGUGAUUGGAACUUGCUGUGUGGUUUUGUUAAAAUGCAGAAAUGAGCCUAAACAGACAAGCACCAGAAAAAUCCAGCUGGAAUAAUGAUGAAGACAUCCAAAAGGUAGGUUCUUCAAAGGAUCCAGAAAGAUCCAGGGCUGUCCGGACACAGCACCAGGACACUCUGACUUAGAUAUUCCAGUCCUUGGCAGGCAGGAGGCUUUGGAGGCGUGUCUGGCUCCACCUGUGUGUCAAUCCAUCGACUCGCUUUACUGACUUUGUACCGAAUAAAGAACCUUCUAGUAUUGAUUUUCUUUCCCAAAAGUCUGUCCUUCCUGAAAGAGAUUGUGCUGACCAGCCAACCUCAGAAUUCCUGGCUGCUGGGGGUUUUCAUUUCUCAGUGCAAAUUAAUAAAUUGCAUUUUGGGCUCAUUAA